CUCUUCCUCACCAGCCAGUAACAUCGGCCUCGUCUUCUUCACCAGCCAGUAACAUCAUGAGUCAACAAGAGAAGUGUAAAAAAAUGUAUAGCAAUGAUCUUCAGUCAACCUCAUCUCUUGCUAGAAGCAGAGAGAAGAGAGUCCUAGCCUUGUCUACUUUGUGACAUUGUUGUCUAUCUUCUGUGAAGUCACCCCUGGUAUUUGUCACCAGAUCACACCAAGCUAAGCCAGAGACCAACAGCUGACCCUGGACUUGCCAAUGGGCACUUAACUUCUACCAGGCCAUAGGGAGGGUCUUCAUUUGGGUCUACCACCUUGCCAUCUGGACUAGCACCAAGGUGUGGAGCUCCCGGG